rfam:Capsicum annuum cultivar Zunla-1 chromosome 1, whole genome shotgun sequence
AGAGGUAUGGCUGAGUGGCUUAAGGCAUUGGUUUUCUCAAUCGACAUACAAGAAGAUUGUAUCAUGGGUUCGAAUCCUAUUUCCUCCG